UGGAGCUCGUUAGCCGUGGUAGGCAAUCUGCCUAGGAGAGGGACAACUCCGAACAACAAACCCGGGCAGGUGGAGCUCGUUAGCCGUGGUAGGCAACUCACCUAGGAGAGGGACAACUCCGAUUACAAACCCGGGCAGGUGGAGGUCGUUAGCGUGAGCAGUUCACCUAGGAGAGCAAACUCCGAUUACAAACCCGGGCAGGUGGAGGUCGUUAGCGUAAGCAGUUCACCUAGGAGAGCAAACUCCAAUUACAAACCCGGGACGGUGGAGAUCGUUAGCGUGAGCAGUUCACCUAGGAGAAGGAUAACUCUGACCACAAACCCGGGCAGGAGGGGGUCGUUAGCCGUGGUAGGCAGUCCUCCUAGGAGAAGGAAAACUCCGAAUUCAAACCAACCAAACACACACACACACACACACACACGACCAACCAACCGGGGAGGUGGGGCUCGUUAUAGGCGUCGUAGACAAUCCACCAAGGGGAAUCAACAAAUAAAAGGAUAAUAAAAGCGAACACACGAGAAGAAGAAUAUGAAAUUAGAACCGGACAAAAAAGGAUAAUAUAAGAUGGAACACCGAAUAAAGGAUAGUUAGGAGAACAGCAUCGAGAAAAGCAUAAGAUACACAUGGAUCAUCCAGACUGAAACAAG